GUUUGAUCCUGGCUCAGGAUGAACGCUGGCUGUGUGCCUAAUACAUGCAUGUCGAACGAAGUACUUGUACUUAGUGGCAAAUGGGUGAGUAACACGUACCUAACUUGCCUUUUAGAUUGGGACAACCACGGGAAACUGUGGCUAAUACCAAAUAUGUAUAAUUAACAUAUGUUUUUUAUAUGAAAGGAAGCGAUUGCUUUGCUAAAAGAUAGGGGUGCGCUACAUUAGCUUGUUGGUAGGGUAAAAGCCUACCAAGGCUAUGAUGUAUAGUGGGAUCGAGAGGUUGAACCACCACACUGGGAUUGAGAUACGGCCCAGACUCCUACGGGAGGCAGCAGUAGGGAAUAUUCCACAAUGAGCGAAAGCUUGAUGGAGCGACACAGCGUGUAGGAUGAAUGCCUUAGGGUUGUAAACUACUGUUAUAAGAGAAGAAUAGCUAAAAAAGGAAAUGUUUUUAGUCUGACGGUAUCUUAUCAGAAAGCAGUUGCAAACUAUGUGCCAGCAGCAGCGGUAAUACAUAGACUGCAAGCGUUAUCCGGAAUUAUUGGGCGUAAAGCAUUCGUAGGUUGUUUAUUAAGUUUGGUGUUAAAAACAAAAGCUCAACUUUUGUUUGCAUUAAAUACUAAUAGACUAGAGUUAUAAAGAGGUUAAUGGAACUCCAUAUGAAGCGGCGGAAUGCGUAGAUAUGUGGAAGAACACCAAUGGCGAAGGCAAUUAACUGGAUAUACACUGACACUGAGGGAUGAAAGCGUGGGGAGCAAACGGGAUUAGAUACCCUGGUAGUCCACGCUGUAAACGAUGUUUGUUAAUCGGUGGUGAAAUCACUGAUACAGCUAACGCAAUAAACAAACCGCCUGAGUAGUAUGCUCGCAAGAGUGAAACUUAAAGGAAUUGACGGGGAGCCGCACAAGCGGUGGAGCAUGUGGUUUAAUUCGAAGAUACGCGAAGCACCUUACCAACAUUUGACAUCUUUUGCAAAGGCAUAGAGAUAUGCUGGAGGAUAACAAAAAGACAGGUGGUGCAUGGCCGUCGUCAGCUCGUGCCGUGAGGUGUUGGGUUAAGUCCUAUAACGAGCGCAACCCUUUUCUUUAGUUACUAACAUUUAGUUGAGCACUCUAAAGAUACUGCCUAGGUAACUAGGAGGAAGGAGGGGAUGAGGUAGGUCAUCAUGCCUCUUACAUGUUGGGUUACACACGUGCUACAAUGGCAAAUACAAAGAGAAGCAAAAUCGUGAGGUGGAGCAAAUCUGUAAAAUUUGUCUCAGUUCGGAUUGGAGUCUGCAACCCGACUCCAUGAAGUAGGAAUCGCUAGUAAUCCUAGAUCAUCAAUGCUAGGGUGAAUACGUUCUCGGCUCUUGUACACACCGCCCGUCAAACCAUGGGAGUUGGUAAUACCCAAAGCUAGUUAGUUAACCAUUUAUUUGGAGGCAACUAUCUAAGGUAGGAUCAAUGACUGGGGUUAAGUCGUAACAAGGUAACC
rnacentral:rRNA from 1 species